UGUGACGAACAGUUAUCCCGUAAGCCACCCAAAGUGUCUCAACAAAAUUUGGAAGCUCUUGUCAAAAUGGUUGGAUGAAAGAAACCAGACUGUCAUGGAAAACAAUACCACUUGCAAGAUGAGCAGCCGGUGCCUGAUAGAUUGUGGGUGAAGUUCUAAAGGAACACAACUCCUCAAGCACUUUGUAUCAUGGGGUACCAAUCAAGAUCUGGGAGGGCGAUGUCCGAGAGUUAGAAGAAUGUUACUAUAUGACGAUGCUUUCAAAUAUGAAUCUAGUUUGCUUGUGUUUAAUUACGUCAAUUAUACUUUGCAACUUAUUUAAUUAUAUACGAUGAUAUUUGGUUA